CAGACACCAAGGAAGUGAAUGGGGAAACAGGGAACAGAACUCAGGUCUCUUGACUAAUGUUUUAGACAUUAAAUAAAUAGGUUAUUAAAUGAAUAGAAUUAUUCUAUAUGAAUAAUUUCAUAUAGAAGGAAGAAAUGCUAUGUGCAAGGUAGAGAGAAAUUAUACAAGAAGCCUCAUUUGGUGCAGGAGUUCAUUUUACGGAAGGUACCUCCUAAAUUUGGUAGAACAAAGACUCAAAACCAGUCUAUGCCCUCUCUCCUGCAAACCAACCGUUUGAUCUUGAACAUAUCAACUCACCUUUCUAACCAGAGUUUCUACUCUAGUACAUCAUUCAAGUAUUUCUUGAGCAACUAAAACAGUGAUGUUGUGGAUAAAGCAGUAAACCAGGUAUAAAGCGUAAGGCCUGCUCCAGAAAACUUCCUAAAAGGCCUAGAACAUGGCUAAAGGAUAUCUCAGAUCCUUUGGACAGUUCUAACGUUCUAUUAAUCUGGGACAGUGGCUCACUCCUCCCUAACCCUGUUUCUUUUCCCCUCAGAGUGUGCCUCCCAUCAUCAUCAUGCUGCUUCUCCUCAGACUGACACUUUUAAUUGGUGAACCUAUUGAGCAGGGUCUAGAGUCUGAAUUCCUUGUUUUCUAAACUGCCUAGCUUAUAGCUGGGGAAUGCUAGGAAAAUGCCAAGUUAGAUAUUUACGUUUCUUGCCUCAAAAGGUUCACUGGAUUCUGGGUUCACUGAUGGAUUAGAACUGAAAUCCAUCAUCUCUUACAGUGGGUCUAGUCUCCAGAUUUGCUGCUGUGUCUGCUGAUACCCUCGACGCCCCAGCACCAGCCUAUCUGGCUCCCUAUUCUGCCACUGGCUACAUUUUCAGGCAAUAACAGAGGAGGUGCAGGCAUUGUGUGGUAGGCCAAAUAAUCCUCCCCUCCCCCAAAGAUGUCCAUGCUAUAAUCCCUAGAAUCUGUAAAUAUGUUACCUUACAUGGCAAAAGAGACUUUGCAGGUGUAAUUAAGGUUAAGAACCUUGAGAGGAGGGGAUUAUCCUGGAUUAUUCAAGUAGGCCCAAUGUAAUCACGAGUCCUUGAAAGUGGAAGAGGAAAGCAGAAGAGUUGCUGACUUUGAUGAUUGAGGAAGGGGUUCUUAAACUAGGGCAUGUGAGUGGCUUCUGAAGCUGGAAAGAACCCUCAGCUGACAGCCACCAAGGAAACAGAGAUUUCAGUCUUACAGACUCAAGGAACUACAUUCUACCAAUGAUCAAUGUACAAGGAAAUAGAUUUUCCCUCGAGCCUCCAGAAAGGAACCUAGCCUUGCUGACACUUUGAUUUUAGACUGGUGAAAUUCAUGCUGAACUUAUGACCUACAGAGUUGUAAAAUAAAUAAAUAAAUUUCUUGAUUGUGCAGAUUAUUUUGUUAAAAAAAGAAAAAAACCAAAUUUUUGUAUUAAGAUGCUAAAUUGGUAGUAAUUUGUUUCAGCAGACAGAAA
rnacentral:lncRNA from 1 species